rnacentral:rRNA from 1 species
UAAUACGGAGGAUGCAAGCGUUAUCCGGAUUCAUUGGGUUUAGAGGGUACGUAGGUGGCCCAGUAAGUCAGUGGUGAAAUCCUGCCGCUUAACGGUAGAACUGCCAUUGAAACUGCUGGGCUUGAGUACAGUUGAGGUAGGCGGAAUGUGUAGUGUAGCGGUGAAAUGCUUAGAUAUUACACAGAACCCCGAUUGCGAAGGCAGCUUACUAAACUGUAACUGACACUGAGGUACGAAAGCGUGGGGAGCGAACAGGAUUAGAUACCCUGGUAGUCCACGCCGUAAACGAUGCUCACUCGCUGUAUGCAAUACACAGUAUGCGGCCAAGCGAAAGUAUUAAGUGAGCCACCUGGGGAGUACGUUGGCAACAGUG